GACUUUAAAUUGGAUACAGUUAUUAGAGAAGAUUUGAGUUGUCAUCUUUGGGGAGAGGACACGAUGUUAUAUGAGAAGAAAAGUGAAAGAGGGUGUAAUUUUGCGUAGAAGCAGUUGUGAAGUCAGAAGUGACAUUUCCCCGUAGUCCUAAGUGGUGCUCUGAAACUUGUUCUCAUCGCUGGAUGUAAGAAAAAGUGAUUUUCCCUUUUCUACCCGAAGCAGCUAAGAGACUGCUGUGGUUUCUCAUGUUCUCUUUCUUCAUCGGCCAUCUAGGUGUUAAGUUCAUUGUAUGGUGACAUAAACAAGAAAUAAA
rnacentral:lncRNA from 10 species